GAAACGCGAUACGUAAUGCGAAUUGCAUACAUCAGUGAAUCAUCAAAUCUUUGAGCGCAAAUUGCCCUAAUUGUAAUAUUAGUACAUUUAUUUGAGCGUCGUUUAAUAAUAUUAUAAUUAUAAAAUAAUGGAUGUCAAAGUAUAGUCAUUUUAAUAUUAUAUAUUCCAAUUACUGUAAUUAUUUUACUAUACUGGGAAAUGAAGAAUAUUAUUUCAUAUUCUACUUGAAAUUAAAUGAAAUUGCCCCCUGAAUUUAA
rnacentral:misc_RNA from 1 species